rnacentral:lncRNA from 1 species
CGUUUGCAAGCGGUCCAUGCGCUGGUCCAACCUGUUUACAUCUGAGAAAGGGAGUCACCCAGACAAAGAGAGGAAAGCCCCGGAGAAUCAUGCUGAGGCAGGAGAAUGGUGUGAACCCAGGAGGCGGAGCUUGCAAUGAGCUGAGAUUGCACCACUGCACUCCAGCCUGGGCAACCAAGCGAGACUCCAUCUCAAAAAAAAAAAAAAAAUUAGCUGGGCAUGGUGGCGGGCACCUGUAGUCCCAGCUACUUGGGAGGCUGAGGCAGGAGAAUGGCAUGAACUCAGGAGGCAAAGCUUGCAGUGAGCAGAGACUGUGCCACUGCACUCCAGCCUGGGCAACAGAGCGAGACUCUGUCUCAAAAAAAAAAAAGAAAAGAAAAAGAGGGUUACAGAUCAUUGCACAUGGAAAAUAUUCCCAGCAGUAAACACUUCCAUUAAUGUGAUCUACAGCUUUUAAAAAGGAGCAUCUCAGAAUAAGAUGGUGGUACAAUUUGCUUAUUGAGAAAGG